rnacentral:rRNA from 1 species
AACGAACGCUGGCGGCAGGCUUAACACAUGCAAGUCGAGCGAGACCUUCGGGUCUAGCGGCGGACGGGUGAGUAACGCGUGGGAACGUGCCCUUCUCUACGGAAUAGCCCCGGGAAACUGGGAGUAAUACCGUAUACGCCCUUUGGGGGAAAGAUUUAUCGGAGAAGGAUCGGCCCGCGUUGGAUUAGGUAGUUGGUGGGGUAAUGGCCCACCAAGCCGACGAUCCAUAGCUGGUUUGAGAGGAUGAUCAGCCACACUGGGACUGAGACACGGCCCAGACUCCUCCGGGAGGCAGCAGUGGGGAAUCUUAGACAAUGGGGGCAACCCUGAUCUAGCCAUGCCGCGUGAGUGAUGAAGGCCUUAGGGUUGUAAAGCUCUUUCAGCUGGGAAGAUAAUGACGGUACCAGCAGAAGAAGCCCCGGCUAACUCCGUGCCAGCCGCCACAGUAA